ACGUAGGGGGCGAGCGUUGUCCGGAUUUAUUGGGCGUAAAGAGCUCGUAGGCGGCUCGGUAAGUGAGGUGUGAAAACUCCAGGCUCAACCUGGAGACGCCACCUCAUACUGCCGUGGCUAGAGUCCGGUAGGGGAGCAUGGAAUUCCUGGUGUAGCGGUGAAAUGCGCAGAUAUCAGGAGGAACACCAGUGGCGAAGGCGGUGCUCUGGGCCGGAACUGACGCUGAGGAGCGAAAGCGUGGGGAGCAAACAGGAUUAGAUACCCUGGUAGUCCACGCCGUAAACGUUGGGCACUAGGUGUGGGUCCUUAUCAACGGGAUCCGUGCCGUAGCUAACGCAUUAAGUGCCCCGCCUGGGGAGUACGGCCGCAAGGCUA
rnacentral:rRNA from 1 species